GUCCUUAUCGUCUAGUGGUUAGGACCCCGUCCUUUCACGACGGUAACAUGGGUUCGAAUCCCAUUAAGGAUA
rnacentral:tRNA from 1 species